CAAACAUGGCCAAAGGUAAACGGGCCUGGCUGCGAAUCGAACGCGCAAUCUUAAGAUCUGGAGUCGGACGCACAACUUUGCAGAAAAUACCAUACGCGAUAUUCAUCUUCUGAAGUGAACAAUCGAUUACUGGUGAAGCGCAAAUGCGAUGGAGCUGAGGAGGAGAAAUUGCACAGUGAUAAACUGAUAAUGUCCUGAAAGAUGAGGCCUUUUCGCAUGCAGAGUCUUGUAUAGAAGAAUAAAAGGAAAGGAGAAUUCCCAAUUCCAUCCUCAAAAUGGCAUCACUUUGGAUUCUUCAAUUUCAUCCCUUAUCUAUUCAGCCAUCGAUUUGGGUUUCAAAGCGCCGGGUUUCUCCGAAUUUUCUGCAACUUAGGAGAGAAUUUGAUUUGCCUCAUGGUCAAUUGAAGUGGAAUCGAUCAACAGCCAAUCCAUUCUUUCAAUUGAGAGCUAUAAGUAGUUUGGGGAGUUCUGAAGACGGGGGAGUUCCACAACAUGGGGUGGUCAAGAUUCCCUUGGAAUCCAAACACCCAAUUGCCAAAUUGCAAGGAAUGAUUUCCAUUUUCCCUCCCGUUGUUUUUCUGACAAGAAGAGGAGCUGGAAGUAAUUUUUUAAUCUGGUUGUGUGUUGCAACUGCAUUUUUGCUUAUUGUUGUGAGAGUGUAUGUGGUGAGGAAGUCAACGUACAACCGUCCUGGCUCUGUAGCUGAUCUUGUCAGACGUGGGCAACUAAGAUCUGAUAGAAGAGGCAUGUACGAUUCUCAUCCCUAAUACUAUCUCUAUCUCCUGUAAUUUUUGUAGUUUUGCUAUUUUGACUUACUCAGAAUUCAUAGAUAUGAGUCUAGGAGGGAUUAAUAUUGAGCUGCAUUUGUUCCUUGUAACUUGCUUUCAUUUAUUUCUGUGGUGUUAUGAAAUCCCAAUAUCACAUUAUAAGCCAUUUCAAGCUUUUCAACCUUGAUAAUGUUAUUCACAGCUCAAGGCCUCUCAAAUAUGAUGAUCCAUUCAAUAAUCCAUUGGUGAAGGUUGGUAAGAGUAAUUCCACUGUAGAAAUGUGUGGGAAAGUUUAUAAGUUGGCCCCAGUUACGCUGACAGAAGAGCAACAAGCAAUCCAUCAGAAAAGGAGAUCCCGAGCAUACCAGUGGAAAAGGCCAACUAUAUUUCUUAAAGAAGGGGAUUCUAUACCUCCUGAUGUUGACCCUGAUACAGUCAGAUGGAUUCCCGCAAAUCAUCCCUUUGCAACUACUGCUAGUGACAUUGAUGAAGACCUGGCCCAAAAUAAUGUUUAUCAGAAACAUGGUGUUCCAUUCCGUAUUCAAGCGGAGCAUGAAGCACUACAGCGAAAGCUAGAAGCAUUACAACAAGAGCAAAAACUCAAUAAAUUGGUCAUUGAUACCGGCAAUGCUAAAGAUUUUGAAAGACUACUAAAGUUUAAUCCAAAGCCAAAUGAGCUUAUAGAACAGAGUCCAUUCAACAAUCAAGCAGGUGAUCCUAUGCCAUCAAAAUCAGAUUCUGCCGCAAAUUCCUUCAAGAGCAAUUCAUCCUCAGAGGAAAUUCAGAAACCAUAAAUUAGUUUUUGCAUUUGACAACAUUUACCCAGCUGUUAAAUAUCCAUAUUUUGUAUUGAACUUAGGAUUUUUGACAAUUAGAUGAGUGUGGAUGUUGAUAUUGUCUGUGGAAAUUAGAAUUUCAACCGAGCUCAGUCCAGUUGUAAGUUGUAAAACGUGAGGUUGGACAGUGAAUAUAAUGGCAGAUGCCCUAUUUAUUUUGGUUUGCAAAUUGCUUUGUCUGCCUCAAGAGAGCUGACCUGCCCCACACCCACACAAAUACAGAGUUGUAUUCCUCCAGGAGCUGAACUGAUGUUUAUUGCAUGCAUCGUCGUGAACACAGUAUUUGUGGCUUACGCGUUGCCAUCCGAAGAUCAGUCAUUCAUUUUAUCUGUAGAUUAUUUUUUGGCCAGUUUCUCUUAUUUGUUAUUUGGAUGAAGCCUUCGCGCUGAUAAUAAUUUUUUAGUUGUUUGCAUCAAAUCAACAUAAUUUGGUAAA
rnacentral:misc_RNA from 1 species